AAUAUUGGACAAUGGGGGGAACGCUGAUCCAGCCAUGCCGUGUGUGUGAAGAAGGCCUUUGUGUUGUAAAGCACUUUAAGCGAGGAGGAGGCUACUCUAGUUAAUACAUGGGGAUAGUGGACGAUAGUCGCAGAAGAAGUACCGGCUAACGCUGUGCCAGCAGCCGCGGUAAUACAGAGGGUGCAAGCAUUAAUCGGAUUUAAUGGGGGUAAAGCACGCGUAGGUGGCCAAUUAAGUCAAAUGUGAAAUCCACGAGCUUAACUUGGGAAUUGCAUUCGAUACUGGUUGGCUAGAGUCUGGGAGAGGAUGGUAGAAUUCCAGGUGUAGCGGUGAAAUGCGUAGAGAUCUGGAGGAAUACCGAUGGCGAAGGCAGCCAUCUGGCCUAAUACUGACACUGAGGUGCGAAAGCAUGGGGAGCAAAC
rnacentral:rRNA from 1 species